rnacentral:rRNA from 1 species
UACGGGGGGGGCAAGCGUUGUUCGGAAUUACUGGGCGUAAAGGGCUCGUAGGCGGCCAACUAAGUCGGAUGUGAAAUCCCCAGGCUUAACCUGGGAACUGCAUCCGAUACUGGAUGGCCUGAAUUCGGGAGAGGGAUGCAGAAUUCCAGGUGUAGCGGUGAAAUGCGUAGAUAUCUGGAGGAAUACCGGUGGCGAAGGCGGCAUCCUGGACCGACAUUGACGCUGAGGAGCGAAAGCUAGGGGAGCAAACGGG